AACCGUACACGCUUAUGGCAGCCAUCUCUUUCGCACGACAUCAAGAGGAGAAAUUGAACCAUGAAGCUCGAAGGACUAGGGUCACUCCUCAACCAGCAAUAUUGAAGCCCUUAGCCCCCCCUACUGUUGACCGAGUCCCUGCACCAAAAAGGUUGACAAGAGAAGAGCUUCAAGAGCGAUCUGCGAAGGGGUUAUGUUGGCAUUACGACGAGCCGUGGAGCCAUGAGCAUCGCUGUAGUAAAGGGAGACUUUUUAUCAUUGAACCAGUAGAA
rnacentral:lncRNA from 1 species